UACUCGAGUGGCGAACGGGUGAGUAACACGUGGGUGAUCUGCCCUGCACUUCGGGAUAAGCCUGGGAAACUGGGUCUAAUACCGGAUAGGACGAUGGUUUGGAUGCCAUUGUGGAAAGUUUUUCGGUGUGGGAUGAGCUCGCGGCCUAUCAGCUUGUUGGUGGGGUAAUGGCCUACCAAGGCGUCGACGGGUAGCCGACCUGAGAGGGUGUACGGCCACAUUGGGACUGGGAUACGGCCCAG
rnacentral:rRNA from 1 species